AUUCCAGCUCCAAUAGCGUAUAUUAAAGUUGUUGCAGUUAAAAAGCUCGUAGUUGGAUUUGUGGCAGUCGCGUGCGGCCCGGCAUUCGUGCCGGUGCUUGCUAGCGUCGCCAUCCUUGGGUGGAACCUGUGUGGCAUUAGGUUGUCGUGCAGGGGAUGCCCAUCGUUUACUGUGAAAAAAUUAGAGUGUUCAAAGCAGGCUUAUGCCGUUGAAUAUAUUAGCAUGGAAUAAUAAGAUAGGACCUUGGUACUAUUUUGUUGGUUUGCGCACCAAGGUAAUGAUUAAUAGGGACAGUUGGGGGUAUUCGUAUUCCAUUGUCAGAGGUGAAAUUCUUGGAUUUUUGGAAGACGAACUACUGCGAAAGCAUUUACCAAGGAUGUUUUCAUUAAUCAAGAACGAAAGUUAGGGGAUCGAAGAUGAUUAGAUACCAUCGUAGUCGUCA
rnacentral:rRNA from 1 species